GACGAACGCUGGCGGCGUGCUUAACACAUGCAAGUCGAACGGAAAGGCCCUGCUUUUGUGGGGUGCUCGAGUGGCGAACGGGUGAGUAACACGUGAGUAACCUGCCCUUGACUUUGGGAUAACUUCAGGAAACUGGGGCUAAUACCGGAUAGGAGCUCCUGCUGCAUGGUGGGGGUUGGAAAGUUUCGGCGGUUGGGGAUGGACUCGCGGCUUAUCAGCUUGUUGGUGGGGUAGUGGCUUACCAAGGCUUUGACGGGUAGCCGGCCUGAGAGGGUGACCGGCCACAUUGGGACUGAGAUACGGCCCAGACUCCUACGGGAGGCAGCAGUGGGGAAUAUUGCACAAUGGGCGGAAGCCUGAUGGAGCAACGCCGCGUGCGGGAUGACGGCCUUCGGGUUGUAAACCGCUUUCGCCUGUGACGAAGCGUGAGUGACGGUAAUGGGUAAAGAAGCACCGGCUAACUACGUG
rnacentral:rRNA from 1 species